GUCUGGUUAGCUCAGUUGGUUAGAGCGUGGUGCUAAUAACGCCAAGGUCGCGAGUUCGACCCUCGUACUGGACA
rfam:Rachicladosporium antarcticum strain CCFEE 5527 scaffold_35, whole genome shotgun sequence.